GACGAACGCUGGCGGCGUGCCUAACACAUGCAAGUCGAGCGAGUGAAUCUCCUUCGGGAGUGAAGCUAGCGGCGGACGGGUGAGUAACACGUGGGCAACCUGCCUCAUAGAGGGGAAUAGCCUUCCGAAAGGGAGAUUAAUACCGCAUAAGAUUGUAGCUUCGCAUGAAGUAGCAAUUAAAGGAGCAAUCCGCUAUGAGAUGGGCCCGCGGCGCAUUAGCUAGUUGGUGAGGUAAUGGCUCACCAAGGCGACGAUGCGUAGCCGACCUGAGAGGGUGAUCGGCCACAUUGGGACUGAGACACGGCCCAGACUCCUACGGGAGGCAGCAGUGGGGAAUGUUGCACAAUGGGGGAAACCCUGAUGCAGCAACGCCGCGUGAGUGAUGACGGCCUUCGGGUUGUAAAGCUCUGUCUUCAGGGACGAUAAUGACGGUACCUGAGGAGGAAGCCACGGCUAACUACGUGCCAGCAGCCGCGGUAACAC
rnacentral:rRNA from 1 species